rnacentral:rRNA from 1 species
UUGGCCUACGGGACGCAGCAGCCGCGGUAAUACGUAGGUGGCAAGCGUUAUCCGGAUUUAUUGGGCGUAAAGGGAACGCAGGCGGUCUUUUAAGUCUGAUGUGAAAGCCUUCGGCUUAACCGGAGUAGUGCAUUGGAAACUGGGAGACUUGAGUGCAGAAGAGGAGAGUGGAACUCCAUGUGUAGCGGUGAAAUGCGUAGAUAUAUGGAAGAACACCAGUGGCGAAAGCGGCUCUCUGGUCUGUAACUGACGCUGAGGUUCGAAAGCGUGGGUAGCAAACAGGAUUAGAAACCCCUGUAGUCCCA